rnacentral:rRNA from 1 species
UACGUAGGUGGCAAGCGUUGUCCGGAUUUAUUGGGUUUAAAGGGUGCGUAGGCGGCUUUAUAAGUCAGUGCUGAAAUAUCCCGGCUUAACCGGGAGGGUGGCAUUGAUACUGCGGGGCUAGAGUACAGAUGAGGUAGGCGGAAUUGACGGUGUAGCGGUGAAAUGCUUAGAUAUCGUCAAGAACACCUAUAGCGAAGGCAGCUUACUAGGCUGUAACUGACGCUGAGGCACGAAAGUGUGGGGAUCAAACAGG